UAAGGCAGGCUGAGGGACAAACCAUGAACAUGAGGUAACUGGAGUGCCCAGGUUGUCACAAAGAGGAAAAUGGGAAUUGAACACCUUCUCCUUUCCCCCCCAUCACUCUCUGGGUGCGUGUGAUCACACUGACAGCAGGACAGAAACAGCACCAUGGCCUAUGCUACUUCCAAGGGUUAGGUUUUCUGCCCUCACUGUCAUGCUGAACAACCCAAAAUCUUUCAGCUGGAGAGAGGAGAAGAAAUGGAGGCAAUCAAUUUUGAUUGGGACCUGGAGAUGCCUAUGCAAACAGGAGUGGUAACAAUUCUUUUGCUAGAAGGAGCAAACCCUGAAGAUUGUGAGCUGCCCAGACCAAGGACAUGCAGCUGCCAGGGAGAAGGGAAUAAAUGCAG